rnacentral:rRNA from 1 species
UGGGCGCAAGCCUGAUGCAGCCAUGCCGCGUGUAUGAAGAAGGCCUUCGGGUUGUAAAGUACUUUCAGCAGUGAGGAAGGCGGAGUCGUUAAUAGCGGCCUCGUUUGACGUUAGCUGCAGAAGAAGCACCGGCUAACUCCGUGCCAGCAGCCGCGGUAAUACGGAGGGUGCGAGCGUUAAUCGGAAUUACUGGGCGUAAAGCGCAUGCAGGUGGUUUGUUAAGUCAGAUGUGAAAGCCCGGGGCUCAACCUCGGAAUUGCAUUUGAAACUGGCAGACUAGAGUACUGUAGAGGGGGUAGAAUUUCAGGUGUAGCGGUGAAAUGCGUAGAGAUCUGAAGGAAUACCGGUGGCGAAGGCGGCCCCCUGGACAGAUACUGACACUCAGAUGCGAAAGCGUGGGGAGCAAACAGGAUUAGAUACCCUGGUAG